ensembl:lncRNA
GCGUGUGUGAAUCUCUGACAGAUGACUUUUCCUCCACAUUCAAGAGAAGCUGUGAUUGCUUCAAGUUUCAGUGCGUAACAAUGCGAGUGGAGUGAGAAACGGAUCGGAUGCAUUCAGAGAAACGCUCGGGAGCGGAUCGGCUAAGUGGAAGAGUCUGUCCGAGCGGCAGGUGUGAAACGGGAGGACGAGUUUAUUCCCCGCGGUGCGUUCCUCGACGAGGUGAAAGGUUUCAGGAGUGAAAGUGGGUCAGGCUCGCACGUCCUGCAGAGCACAGGUGAAACGAUUUCACUCGGACACUUUCAUUGGUCUGUGCAGGAGUGGCAGAUAGAAGGCAUGUCAGCAGGUGAUGUUUGCAUCUUUAACGUGUGUCCAGGAAAUUUCCCUUUUUUUUGGGGGGGGGGAUUUUUUUCUUUUUGAUAUUUGAUGAGGGGAAGUUGUUAUAAAGGAAUUGUAAAAAUGAGUGUAGAGGGGGGAAAAACCUCCUUCCUGUUCAACACAUGAAAUGUGUCUUUGCUGCAGGAAAGCAGCAUGUACAUUCAUGCAGACUGCUUUAGCCCCUCCCCUUUUAGAGCCACCUUUCUCCAGAUUGGCUAUAAAUGUAAGGCUUGAAGAGCAGUGUGUGCUUGAGAGGGUCCGAUAAAGAUGGCCCCUCUUUCACAUUAGAUUCUAGGGUAGAAAAAACUGUUGGAGACAUUAAAUGAAUUUUUUAACAUGUUUAAAUCAAGCAUUUAAUAAAGUAAUAUGUAUGCAUAGACAUAUUUAGGGUCUAUAUAAAGACCCUCAAUGCACAGGCCUUGGUCAGUGCCUGGUAAUACAGGUAAAAUGAUAAGACACUGACUUGUCUGUAAACACUCACCAACUAUGUGUUAUGUGGUUGUGAUACUGCGACGAGUGCAACACAGCCCAAAGUGCAGUAAAAGUUUAGCUUUAUUUUGAAGGCGAGCUGCACCCGUUUCCAGUUUCCUCACAGCAAACUUCUAAUGACCACAGCAACCCCAAGGAGGUUU